rnacentral:sRNA from 1 species
GCUGGGUGUGGUGGUGCAUGCCUGUAAUCCCAGCGGCUCAGGAGGCUGAGGCAAGAGGAUCAUGAGUUCAAAACCAGCCUCAGCAACUCAGUGAGACCCUGUCUUUA